GGGGCACGAAUGCAUUGGAUAUACUUUCUCAUAUGCAAUUAGAAUUGAAACUACACAAUCAAGCCAUGCUAAAGACUUUUGUUCAAGUUCGCAGUUAGUCAUCCAAACUACAAAAGGGGGAGAGACAAAACCUGUCAGUGCAUGCAGGAGCCGGCUAUAAAGAUAGCUCGAACCAAAACGAGCUUGGCCAUCCACGGCUGAGGAAUAAUGUCCACACCAUCAACACCGUAGUACAAGGGUGAAGAUCCAUGUAAAAUGACUAGCUUAUAAAUAUGCAAAACCAGCACGAUGUACAAGUGAAGCGCCCAGUGCACAAGUUCACGCCAAAUACAAAAAAAAAACCCAGCACAUUAACAUACCUGCGAAGCACCGCGCAAGGACCCACUAGUCAUAUUCUGCUCACAAAAGAAAUCGCAAUCACAUCGCUAAAAAGUCGUCACAACACAGGAAGUGUAAAGUCUCUCGUCCAUGGCCAUUGCACGUCUCAACCCAGCAUCUCCAAGAUAACCUAAAAGGUCUCCUAAUACCCUUAUUGCUUGCCUCAGAUAGCUAUCCUCCAAUAACUAACAUUAGCUCCCUUGGAAUAGUUACUGAAUGAAUUCUUACACAAAGGAAAAUAUCAAACAAAUUACUCCUGACAAGUCAUGGCGCUUGUUUGCUCCAAGCUUCCCAUCUCCCUCUCCCUCUUUUCUUUUCUGGACACGGGCUGGAGUAGCGCGCCCAUCUUUCUCUCUCUGUUAUCACUUCUGGACACACGCUGGCGUAGUGCCCCUUGCUCCUACACUUAUGGCAAGUAACUAAAGCCCUUCUCUUCAUGAUGAUUUCCUGGACAGCCUUCUUCAUUCCUUUCCUCUGUUGCUGAACCACUUCUUGUGUCGUGGUGAGUAGACGACACUGGGCUGGAUUGUGGUUAGUCCCUUCACACAUGAAACAGGUGACUCGCGUAGUGGGACAUUCUUCACCCAAGUGACUCGCUUCACAAUAGGGGCAUCCAUCUUGGUGUUCCUUAUCGGUGUGUCCUAUUUCUCCACAGAUUUUGCAUGCGCGGUGCAUCUUCAUGCUUCGAUCAGAGGAAUCCGAGAAAAGAUUGUUUGUUGGUGCUCAGAUUCUAUGGGUGUAUAGGAGGGGAUUUCCCAUCAGUGAUCACUGCACCAAAAAAUGGUUCAAAUCGCUAAAUCAGCAGUCCCACAAGAACUAGAAUUAUACAGACAACAAAAAGCAAACAAAAGAAACCUAUAUAACAGAGAUUAAACUGGAAUUUGGGGGCAAGCGUAACCAAAGAUCCAUCUAGACAGAUUUGCACUCUAAGCGCCACCCGGUUUACCUCUUGGGAGCAUUGUAAACUCAGAUGCACCAAGAGAAUGGCGGCCAAACAAUGGGACAGUGAUUCCCAAGUCAAACAAAUGAAACACUAACACAUAAAAAUGAAAGCAUCAAAGAGGAGUCUUAGGCGGCAACUGCUAUUGUUUUGAGAAAAAAAACAAGUUUUAAAUUUAUCAACAUUUGCAAUGCAAAGAAUAAGUGAAGACAGCGAAGUAAAAUAGAAACAAAUGGGGAUGUUAACAAGGCUCAGAAGAAAUUAGCAGCAUUAACUCUAAAGUCUGGCUGGGCAAAAGCUCUUAGGCGGCAACUGCGAAUGUUUGAGAAACAAGCCUUAAAUUUAUCUCAUCGCCAUAACAUAUCCUCAAAUCAUAUUGACCACAACUUGUUAGCUAGUCGUAACAAAAUUUAAUCACAAUAAACGGUUCAGUAGACCAACCAAAAUACAGUCUCAGGUUACUACCAACAAAAAAUUAGAUACAAUGCAAAAAACAGAGCAAACAAGAUCAAAGAGAAUCCCUCAGAGACCCACUUAAAAUCACGCACACAGCUGAACCAAACCAGCUGCAAAUGGAAAUUCCAGCCCACAAACAACAAAGGUUAUGGGCGAAGGAGGACACUUGCAGUGGAGAGAAGCAGCCGUUGUUUACAGUGUCCUACGGCACUUCCUAUGGUCUGAGAAUCUUCACCAGGAUAAUUUAAGAAUGGACAAAAUUAACUAUACAAACUAUACUAGGACCUGAAGCUAUUGGUAUUAAGCCUCAGAAAGCCGCAAAAAUAUCGUCAUUCAGAAUCUGACGGUAAUUCCAACAAAAAGCUAAUCAUCAUGGGCUUCAAUUGCAUUAUAGCUCCAAAUAAAAUCGGUGGAAACAAGGCAUAUCAUCAGAAUAUAAAUGCCUUCUCAUUCACAGGUAAAUAAGCACUGUGUCAGAAGGUGUCUUAAGAUUGUUUCAAGGUUUCAUCCCAUGAGACUAACGGAAUAAAGAAGCAAAACAACGGAAACGCUGAUCUCUAAUGGAUUCAGUUGCAAAGAUGACAUCAUAUGGGUGGCUCAAGCAACCCUCGGAUCAAGUGUUGGAUUAUGCAUCAAUACCUCCUCACGAUCCAAACAGAUCUUGUAAGAAGCAAACGAUGAAUAACAGUGAAGAAAGAUACAUAGUUGCUCAGUGGUGGCAAUGUUUAAUUGGUUCGAUUCUGCCAGCGAUGUCGUCAAUGCUUUCAGAAGAGGGAGCUUGUUAUCCUCAUCGCAACUAAGUCCUCCAAAGCAAACACACACAUCAAACACACGAAAGGGGAAACAACAAUGGAGGGCGGACUAACAAAAUCAAGUAUCAGAUGGCUUGGUUCAGCGGGAUAAUCGGCAUACAAAUCAACUCCUGAGAGAAAACCUGCGAUUGGUCUGUUGAGCUUGAAAUUUGCAAAUCGUCACCGCAAUCAUCCAAGGAAAAGAAAAGUCCAGAAAGAGUAUCGAACCAAAUGAGGAAGGUUCACACUAAUCAUCAAAGGCUUCACGAAAGCACGAUAUCUCAAAAAUAAAAUUCCUGUUUUAUUUUGAACAACUAACAGUACCGAUUUAAGCAUAGCACCAUACAACCACUAUGCAGUCAAAUUUCAUCUACAGAGUUAGAUUCAUAAGUAUGUCAAUCGACACAGAUCCACCGAAGCAGAUCCUAAGACUGGUGCGACAAAUAUGAACUCAUCAUUCUCAUAGCUACAAUAUAGCCAAUUCAAAAUUGGCUAACUAUGCUCCUCAAUCAUUCCAACUAUACCUGCUCUGUUUUAUCUCAAUUCGUAUCAUCUUGUACUCUACAUAAUUAUUACAGCUGGUACUACAUGAAAGUUCUAAAAGGAUUUCAAAUUGUCCAACAAUUUGUGAAUUGCUAUCUUACAAACAGGUUCUUAGUUUAUAUAUUUAAAGAAUACCUGGAAGACAUCUCACAAUGACGUCAAGCAAAAGUCAACGGAAAGGAGCUCAGUAAGGAAGUAGCAAUUGAUAAUCACACCAGAUAGUUCAUAGUGAGUGAAUUUUCGCAUCAAUGCUCAAAAUCCAAGCAAAAAAAAACUUCAAUUUAGGAUAUGGUUUCUCAUGUGCAGUUAGAAUUGAAACUACACGAGCAAGCUAAAGGUCGUCAGCUAGGAGCUAAAGACUUUUGUUUACUGAACUACAAAAACAAACAUAUUUGGGCCUCAUUGUUAAUUAUACUUUCCUCAUUAAGGGAAUUGAAUUGAAACAUAUGCUUGUCUAUUACUCCUAGACAAUCAAUAAAAAGAAUUCACAUGUCAAACUCAGAAUAUGGGUGGUUAUACAGCGGGAUGGUCGGCAAGGGAAAUGAAUGCCAGUUACGACGAAUGAGACCAAAUAUCAAUCGUCACCAGCCUCAAACCGGAUGCAAAAACAGGUAAAAUCCCUCAAAGUAGAACGCAGAGAGAGGAGAGGGGGGAGGGAACCUGUUGAGACGGGAGGUGGCGGCGUGGGGAAGGUCUCUUCGCUGGUGGUUAGGGUUUCGUUUCGCAGAGGUGCCCGGCCCGGCCGACCCAUGCCGUGGCCCCCCUUCAAGUGGGCUCUAGCCUAUCGCGGGUAACCUGGUGUAAUCUGCUCGGCCCAUAGACCACGACCGAUGGGGCCCACGAACCCAUCGCUUUUAUUUUUAUUUCUGUCUUUGAGUGCCGGUAAAUUGAAUUUAAUUGUUUUUAUCCAUUUAUGUAUUUCUCAUGCCGCAGAAGAUUUUUUUAUAACUGAUCCUACAUAUGACAUUUCUUGGCUGUUCAUAUUUCAAACUCCAGUUUUUAAGUUCAUUUGUAAGAUGAAGUUAAAAAUGUGUAUGGUAUAUUUGACUCCCAAAUUAGCGGUGCCGCCGCGGUAAGCUCAUAGUGUAUGCAUUUAUGCUUCCAUUUUUUCAGGCUGGAUUGUUUGUGUUCAAUUUGCACAAGAGUACCAAGAGGAGAGGUUAGUGGCACCUGCUUAGAUUUUCAUUCGAUUGUAUUUGUUUAGAAUCAAUUGCACUUCCUCCAUUCCUAAAUAUUUGUCUUUUUAGAUAUUUCAAAUAGACUACCACAUACGGAUGUAUGUAGACAUAUUUUAAAGUGUAGAUUCACUCAUUUUGCUCCAUAUGUAAUCACUUGUUAAAAUCUCUAGAAAGACAAAUAUUUAAGAACAGAGGGAGUAUGUAUCUAUUGGGUUUUUGAUUUUCUAUACCCUCGAUCUAGGUUCUUUACCAGAUCUUUUUAUCUAUUACAUUUUUUACCAGUACCUUUUACUGCAAUGUGGAGGUACUUUGCAAUCUGAUCCACCUUCAUGUUUUGUGGAGUUUGCAAAUGUCUCAGAUUUUAGUUUCCUCUAGCUUUGAAUGAAACAAAAGAGAAGACACGCAUUAUUUUAGUUUCCUCUUCCCUUGGAGGUUUGAUGUCCUCUUCGUUUCAGAUUAGGCAUUAGUUUAAGAUUUGGUGGAAAUUUGCCAAAACCAGUGUAAGCUUCAGCUUAUUUUGGUGUUGCUUACAAGCGAAGAACUACAAAUAUUAUUCAUCUCCAUGCCAUUUGUUUCUUUUUCCUUAUAAAGAACUUGUUUCUUUUCUAGAUUAUGGUGGUGUUCAGUUCAUGCUCCCACAAAGGUCAGUGUUGAAGCAUCGAUCUUUUGCAAGAUUUGCAACCAUACCUAAACAAAUUUAUGAAUAAGAUGUAUUUAUAAUGGAGGCAUGGUCCGAGAUUGUAGCUGCAACUCAUGGAUGCAAACAAGGUUAGGAGUACCCUGUGAAUUGACAGCACCACUUUGAGUUGCUUUAUAAUUUUUUGCGAGUGAGUUCCUUUAUUUAUAAAGGCAGUGGUGUUGGAUCUUGUUGGGGGGAAAAUCAGCAUGCAGACUCGCAGGGGGCUAUAAGAAAAUUAUCUAAUGACAUUGCAAAUCUGAUAGAGGUUGGCUGACUAGGAAGCCUUUCUUUUUCAACAAUAAGAUUAGCAUAAGUAAAAUUCUAUGCACGAUGAUAGGCAUGAUACUUGUUGACUCCCUUGUUGGGAUCUACGGUAGGGUGCGUCGACUGCAAAUUUAAAAUUUUUCUACGCGCAGAACAACCAAGAAUAUGCUACGGGAAAUGGAUCACAGUUUGUUACCACUAGACGCGCAGUACCGUGUAGCGGAAGAAGAGUUGGGACAGCGCGUCCGCGUGGAUCGUCUCCUCCUCGUACGAGUCGUCGGUCCCACGUACAGAUUCGCCGGAGCGGCGCAAGUGCACCGCCUUUAACGGUAUCCACGCAUGCAGGAGGAACAUCGUGCGGCGGACUGCUAGGUCCGGUCACACAACCAGCGGCGAGUGGAGGUAUCUAUUCAUAACACAUGCAAACCCUAGUGACAGUGCCGAAGUGAUCAACCGCAUGAGUUUGCCGCACCCCACUUUAUAUAGGUGUCCGUCGCGGGCUCAAUACUUGGGCCUCGCACGAACCCUAAAGCCCUUAAGUCUACCCGGCCACAAUCCGAAUACAGCUCAGAUCACAUCCGACCAGUGUCCUCGGAUCCGACCUCGUAGGUUCCUUCCCUUAAGCGCGCGACCCCUUAGAUUCAAGCCGGCUUGGUCGCAAUUCGGAUCACAUCCGGACUACAUGACUGGUAGCGGCCUCUAGCAAGGCGUGCCGACCACCAAGCUGACGAUGAAGCUGGUUAGACGAACAUGUACAUCACACUUCCAUUCCUUUUGCCACACGAUAUAUGUUGUCGGGCUCAAGGCGAGUCUGCCAUCCUUGUGCUAGCCCGACCUCUUUCUCGUUCCAGUGAUGCCGACCACAAACCAGAUUAUCUCAUAAUCCUUGUCGCAUGGCCAUGCUUAUCCUGGUCGGAUCACACGAGGGGCCCAGAUUAUAUCUCUCCUUAUCGGAGGGGCAAAUCCCAUAUUGCUCGACCAUGUCUCGCAGCAUGGGUCUGGACAAGCCCGUAACCUACCUUUGUAACUAUCCAGUCACGGAGUAGCGUUUGGUUGGCCCAAAGCAAGUCUGUUACUAUACCAAGUACAUGCACCAGCUCAGGUCUUAGGACAUAGAACGUAUGUUGUACUAGAGACUCACAGAUGACAUAUCGUUGCGUCUCAUAGUUGGGUCUGUCCGACUCGGACCUUAUCUCAACUCGGAUCCGACUAUGUUGAAUCCGACCAGAUCCUUCUGAGUCCAUAUUAUCCGGUUAGCAUCCAAUGCCCCAAGGCUAGUGAGACCAAGCCAUCGACCGUGUCAUAUGAUAGUCUAGUUGGCUGCGCGUCCACACAGUCCUUUCGACUAGGGACCUUUUAGGACGUUCAACAUACAAUGCAUAGUCCCACAAACAAGUCACGUACUUGCUGAUACACAUCAUUGAUAAUGUUCAAGGACUAUCUUUAUUCAUAAACACAUAGGAAAUAUUAUCAUACAUGAUUGCCUCUAGGUCAUAUCUCCAACAUCCCUUCAUCAAAACUUUUUUUAUAGUGCCAGAUACGGUGCAUGAAUGUUGAUUCUCAUAAUACCACUUGUGGUGCACUUGCUCAACUACAUCGAGAAGGAAGCUAGAGAAAACAUCAAUGAGAAUUGCAUAAGCUUAUUAGUGAUUACUAAGAUAAUUUCUUGUGUUGUUACUCUAUGCAUACAAUGCUAAAUUAUAGCGUCUCUUGGAACUCGAUUAAAUUAUAGAUGAUUUGUAGUAUGUUUAGUGUUAUCAUGAUGUUUUCUCUAUGCACGUGAAUUCUCAUAUAGGGUUGUAAUAUUUGUCGAGGCGUGCGUGCACAUGCACACUUACUAGUCCCUUUAACAGUAGGUAUAUAUGAUCGACUUCUGAUUCCACACACAAACAGUAUGGACUAUGGAACUUGGGUCGGGAUCUUGCUGUUCAGACUACAUCUCAAUGUUCACAAAUUUUAAGAACAAUUACGAAUUUGAGAAAAAAUACAAAAAAUGUAAAAUGUUUAUGAAUUAAAAAAUAUUCACCAAUUUAGAAAAAAAAUCCAUGAAUUUAAAAAAGCAUUCAUCAAAGGAAAACAAUUUGCAAAUUUUUUAAAAUGUGUGUGAAUUUAAAAUAUGUUCAAAAUUUUAGAAAUGUGUUCAUGAAUGGAAAAAUAGAAAAGGAAAAAAUGGUAGAAAUGGAAAAAAUAAACAAAAAUAAAGAGGAAAUGAAAGAAAGAGAAAAAACUUAUGAGAAACCAGAAAACAUCACAAAAACACAUAUUACAGAAAAUCAAUUAAAAACUUCCCAAAGCUUCCAAACCGGUGAGAGAAGCAUCGCAAAACCACUAUAGGAGUAAUUCACUCCUGAUAAUGGGCCGGCCCACCAAAACUGAUUGUAGUGAGUGAGUGCUAUCAUACGAGUUGCAAUAAGCGAUUUUAGCAAUUGAAAAAUGCUACUACGGUAAAGCAUAACAGUACUCCUUGGGACAAACUCCAAAAUUAUCUUAUGAAUCAUUUUGUGAGCAACACUAGAAAAAAGUGCUUGGGAGCUUCUAUCCCACCCAUAGAGCGCGGGAUAGCGAGCAAACUCAUGUGUUGUCGUGCUAGAAGCCAAAAUAGGCCGGGCACAUGUCAUGUACUAGGUUGAGACAAAAUUAGAAAGGUCCAAGUUGAACCAUUUAGCUCACUUCUCCUCACUCNNNNNNNNNNNNNNNNNNNNNNNNNNNNNNNNNNNNNNNNNNNNNNNNNNNNNNNNNNNNNNNNNNNNNNNNNNNNNNNNNNNNNNNNNNNNNNNNNNNNNNNNNNNNNNNNNNNNNNNNNNNNNNNNNNNNNNNNNNNNNNNNNNNNNNNNNNNNNNNNNNNNNNNNNNNNNNNNNNNNNNNNNNNNNNNNNNNNNNNNNNNNNNNNNNNNNNNNNNNNNNNNNNNNNNNNNNNNNNNNNNNNNNNNNNNNNNNNNNNGUACAUUUCUCUGGUUGCUUUUCUAUGGCGGUGGUGCUAGGUGCGGCGGCGGACACACGUGUUGGGGAUGUCCGUUGCAUAGUGAAGGUUGAGGAGGUGACGUGUUUGUGAUCUCCGAUGAGCGAGCGAUGGUUAAUGCGGCCUGUGGGGCCCGAUCUAGGCCCGUCUAGGCUGGUGCAUGGUUUGGCCUCCGACUCGCAGGCAUGGCCUCGGUGCUUAGAUCUAAGUGAAUAAGACAUGACGUACUAUACACCAUUGUAAGUGAAUAUUUGAAAUAAAGCCGCACCUACUAUUUACCUUGGUAUCUUUUCACUCUUUAUAUAUACUAAGAUGUGAGUGGUGACAUGACCCAUGUAUCCAAGCAAGCAAAUAUAGGUUGUUUCCUUAUUUGUUCAUCCAAACUUCGUAUCUUUAAGUGAGAAAAAAAUUGUUGUAAUUUCUAUUCUUGUGUGAUCAUGCUUUAGGGAUGAGCGGCAUUGGGAAAAAUAAUUCAACUGACUAAGCCCCACUCACAAGUCGAUUAUGUUUCAUUACUUUGUUGUACACCUUGGUGCAUGCUUGCACUAGUACCUGCAGCCUCUAAGCUCUACAGAGAUGGGGAGUUCUGACUACUUCUCUUGAUUUUUGGUGAGUGUCCCCGUCUUUUGAUUUACUUAGUGAUUCUCGCCCACCUAAUUGUUAGAAGCUGGCACGCAAUAAUAAUGACACUAGAAGGUGCACAUACCCUUGGUGCUGGAAUGUCACAAGGGCCACGACCAUCCUUGAUUGUCAAUGAUUGCAAGAGUUCCAUAAGAGUCCUAAUUUCUUGAAACAUGUUGCAUGUCAUACUAUUUUCCCUCUUUACACACACUAGAGAUGUGACCAAUGUAGCCAAGGAAAGAGACAUGCACAUUAUUUCUUUGGCUGUAUAGACAUACUUUGCUUCUUAUCUUUAGGUGAGAAUCACAAUUGUUGUUCUAACGUGAUCAUACUUUAGGAUGUGUGACAUUAGGAAAAAUAGUCCAACCGCAAGAGGAUCACGCAUUGUGAAACUCGAUUAUGUUUCCGUGAUUCGCUUCACUCCUUGGUGAAUCCUUGUACUAAUCCUACAACCUCUAAGCUCUAAAAAUGGGGAUUGUGGUUGAUCCUCAAUUCCUCACAUUCUUCAGUUGAUGUCGGCGCCUAUCGUUGAGUGAUUGUUGUGUCUCCGCCUAUGAAACCAAGAAGCCGACAUGCAAUAGCAGUAUGUGUAAGCGCCUCUUUGGUAUGCAAGAUUGGUAGGAAUAUGAAAAUCGUAGAUUGUAUGUCAUUGACUCAUUGUCAUAUCGAAUCUUGUAAGAGUUGAAAACACCAUGAAUCUAUUAUACACGGUGUUUAGUUGCUAUACAGGAAAAACUAUGGAAAUAACCUUCGAUGUGGGGUAUCUUUCACAUCAUGUGUUUUGCGUUACUUCACUCAGUUUUUUAGAGUAUUAUUGCCUUGUUUGAAUUUAUUCUUUCUUUCAAUUAUUUUGUUUGGUAUUUCCUUUGGAUUUUAAUUCAUAGAGAGCCCUCUAGCUAUCCUCUUCUGAUCACGUGGCCCAAAUAUUUUCCAAUGAUCGUGCCAUGUGGGUAGAGCCCAAAAAUGUCUAUACUGAAAUUUAUUUUGGGCAAAAAGCAAAUAAACCCUUUUUAGAAAAACCUAAAAAAUGAGGUUUGAACUAAAAGUAUUUAUCUUUCAGAACAGUAAUUCAUUAAAAAAUAUUUCCGGUGUCUAUUAUACUUCAAAAAUAUUUUUAAAAGUUUUUAGUUAUUUAUUUAAAAUCCUUUUGGAAAGGCCAGAAAUGGUAUUUAUAGGGUUAACAUAUUUAUUUUCCUCUAAAUUUUCUUUAAGAAUUUCCAAACUUUAUUUGAGCAUUUUCAACAGCAACAUGAGUUUUACCGCAUGUUCAUGUCCAAAAAUAUAAACAACUAAUUCACCCUCUCCUUUUCUCUCAGGACCAAGACUUUAAUUUUUUUGCUUACUCAUUAAAUCUGCACUGAAUUAAAUCAUAGUCCUAUCAUGUGCUACGGUUGCAUGAUAAAGAGAUGACGAGCCAUUAUAAAAACCUUGUGUUUCUUUCUGAGUUGUCAUCAUUCUAUAUACCAUGUGGGUCUUAUUUUUGCACUUUUUACGUGACAUCGUUUGGCCGUGUAUUUGUGGUUUGUGCUUUGUCUAUAAAAUGGAGUGGAAGCCUUUUUCGUGAACUAUGCCCUCCAAAGCAAACAAUAAAACAAAUAAUUUUUUUUACUAAAAAGCUCAUGAGAUAUUAGAUGUCUCAGUUCAGCGGGAUAAUCGGCAUACAAAUCAACUCCUGAGAGAAAACCUGUGAUUUGAUCUGUUGAGCUUGAAUAUUUGCAAAUCUUCAUUGCCAUUAUCCAAGGAAAAGAACAAUUCAAAAAUAAUACACGAUAUCUUAAUAUAAAAUCCCUGUUUUAUUUUGAUCAGCUAACAGUAUAUAAGUUAGCAUAGCACCAUACUAUGUAGUCAAAUUUUCAUCUACAGAGUCAGAUUCAUAAGUAUGUCAAUCAGCACAGAUCCACCCAAGCAGAACCUAAGAUGGGGGCGACAAAUAUGAACUCAUCAUCCUCAGAACUACAAUAUAGCCAAUUCACAAUCAGGUAGCUAUGUUCCUCGGUCAUUCCAACCAUAUGUAAGUAGGAGUUAUUGAGGCUCUCGCGACCGCGGCUGCGUUGGGUGAGCGCGCCGGCGGCGCUGCCUUGAUCUCCUCCCCGCAGCCUCCCCUGCGGCCGUCGGCACCGGAUCUGGAAUCUCCUCGGUGCUCUCUCUCUUCUCCCCCGCGAAGCUCCGCUGGGCGCCAUGGCUCCUCUCUCCCAGCCCGUGGGAGCAGCCAUGCCUGCAUUGGAACGCUCUGGCGACAACGGCCCUCCGCCCCACCAGCCCCCUGCGGCGGCCGCCGCUCCGUCCCCGUCGGCCUCCCUCACGGAUCCGCGCGUCCCCCGUAGCUCGCAGCAGCCUGCACCCGCGAGCAGGUUCAGAGCGGAGAAUGGGGGGCGUGCGCGGGUUCCCCGCGAGUCUCCUCCCCUACGCGGGUCGGUGGCCACCCGGCAGCCCUCCGUCUCUGGCGGCGCUUCCGGUCAGCUGCUGGAGUCCCAGGCUUUGAUCCCUGAGGCUCUCCUUGUUCUACCGGAUCUGGCGGCGGCCCCAACGCUACCUUUGCCACGUCAGGCGGGCCGAGUCCCUGCACCCGGCGUUGGCUUGGUGGUGGUGCUCGACUCCAGGCCUGCUUCCUGGUGCGCUGUCAAUGAUGAUGAGGUCCAGAUUGAGGAGUUGGUUCUACAGUCGCCGUUGCCCGACGGGUCUGCCGGCGAUGCACAUCUCCAGCUUGGUUGCUCUGUUGUGAAGGAUGUGGAAGAUAUUGAGGGCCUCACUGAAGGAUGUGAUGACGAGAAGACACCACAGAAGCUGCUUGGUCCAUCUUCAGAGUCGGCUUGCAUCGGCAUCUCUGCUGCCACUGCUGCUCUUGAAGCGGAGGCUGGCUGGGAGCAUGUGGAACGGGGACACCGUUCCGGCCGUGGUGCUCCCCCUGUGCCGUCGAGAGAAUGUCUUGAGCGUAGCCUCGCCUUCAAGCGUUGGGCUCGAGGAAGGUGCUUUCGUUGCCUCGAGCGUGGCCACCAAGUCCGUGCAUGUCAUGAUCCAUUCAGAUGCAUACGCUGUCGUUGCCCUGGUCAUCAUGAGAGGUUUUGUCGUGCUCACUCUCCGGUUGCUCGGGAUCGCUCUCCGGUCGCCCGCGUGAGCUCUCCGGUCUCUCAAGCUCAUCACCAGCGGAGCCGCUCCCCAUUUGUCCAGCCUUGUUCUUCGCUGACCAGGUGUUGGGCAGAGGUCGUGGGCAACUCGUCGCUGCAUGUGUCGGUGCCGCCAAGGUCCCAAUCUAGGUGUCGCCAGGAUUCCAAUGCCAGUGCCUUUUUGGUCUCUGCUUUGGAGUCCCAGUUUGCUUUGCUACGCACGGAGCUCCUUCAGGAGGUUGAGCUCCUCCGCACUGAGCUUCGUGACGCUCUUGCCAAGCUUCAGGUUGCUUCGGUUGUGCCUUUGGUGCCUGAGCUCCAGUCUGGUUCCAUUGAUGAGGUGGAUGAAUGCUUCUUUGGAGAAUUUUCUCCUCGUGCUUUGGAUGGGACGUCGUCUGUCCGUGGCGGUGUGGUCAUCACCGAGGUCGUGGCUCCUGUUCUGCAGAUUAUGCCUGAGCUGCAGGAGCUUUUUGGGGAAUCAGCUAUGGUGCAUCCGAUGAAGCCGGGCUCAUUGGAGUCCUUGGCCUCACCAUCACCGUCAGAGUCCUGCCAGCCGCUCGCCUUUGUGGAUAGUGGAUGUUCGGAUGGUUCUGUCACUCUCUCAUCUAUGCCCAUUGGGCAUGAGGUGUCCUUGAGUGACGAGGUUGAUGAGACAGGUGUGUUGGCGCCUAACUCUGAUGCUCUAUCAUGUGAGCAACUGGAGAUGUCUGAGUCCAUCGUGUCGGUUGCUUCUGUGGUUGAUGAUGUUCAGAUGAUUAAUAUGUUGGCUUCUGAUCCUUUGGAGCCUAGCCAGCCGCUCGCCUUUGUGGAGGAUGAAGGUUCUGAUGUUGCGGUAACCCACUCACACGUGACUGUCAGGCAGGUCUCUGUGCGUGAGAAGGUCGAUGACAUUCUCUUUCAGAUAGAGCUUCAUAGCUUGCUUAAACAUUUGGAGGCGGCUAGCCCUGGAUCUGGCAAGGCGAUUGUGGUGGAGGCUCUUAGGAGCAAAGGAAAGAAGAGUGACGCCACAAAAAAGGCGUCCGCGGCUGCUUAAUGGAUGAUCUUCAGUCUCUUGCGUUGUCCUUAUGGCCUGCAUUGUCUUUGUGGAUUUGGUGGUGUCCGUGGUCUCUAGCCAAGUUAGCCUCGUUUGGGGUGUCUUUGCGAUGUAGCAGUGUGGGGUUGAUGGUCUUUACGUGUUGGAUAUGGUUGUCGAGUGAGUAGUCCACAUGUGGUUGAUUUGUAUCGGUUUUUACCCGGUUUUUCGUUAAUUAACUGGGCAAUUCUCUUCUGCUUAAUUAAUCGAUGAGGCAAAUCUUUUGCCUCCGUUUUGAAAAAAAAUAUGUACUCUGUUUUAUCUCAACUUGUACCAUGUGCAAUACUUAAUGAUUACAGCUGGCAUGACAUCAAAGUUCUGAACGAAUAUUAGUUGUCCAACAAUUUGCAAAAAAAAAAAAAACUUGUCUCUUGCAAACUGACUCAAUAACUUCAAGGAAAAGUAAACGGAUAGGAGCUCAGUAGGAAUGUAGAGAUUGAAAAUCACACCUGAUAUAUCAUACUGAGUGAAUUUUCGCAUCAAUGAUCCAAAUCCAAGCAACAAAAAAAUCUUCAAUUUAGGAUACAGUUUCUCAUGUGCAAUUAGAUUUGAAACUGGACAAGCAAGCUAAAGGUCGUCAACUAGGAGCUAAAUACUUUUGUUCAAGUUCGUAGUUUGGGCAUCCAAACUACAAAAACAAAAAGAUUUUGACCUCAUUAUUUAAAAAACAGACUUUCAGUUUUUUUUUUUUACUUUGCUAGGGCAUUUUAACCUCCAAAUACAUUCCCAGAUCAUAUUUGAGCCUGCGGCUCCCAUCUCAUUGGUGCGCCUCAACUCUGACACAUGUUGAUGAUCCCACUGCGCAAAGUAGGCAGUUCCACCAGAAACCUGUCGUUCUUCAUCAAACUUCAUGCCACGAAAUGUUCCAUACCAUACGACGGUAAAGGAAUCGAGAGUAUACGCUGCACAUCAACCUACCAGAAAGUCUGCUUCACAAGCUCUACAUCCCAUUGUCUUGUGACGGGAUCAAUAAGGUCCCCAACUUUUGAAAGGAGAUUACCCCCAAUGGAUAGUCACAAUUUUCCGGUUCGUACCAUUUGGAACCCAUGCUUCUGUCCAUUUGGAAUCCAUCAUCACCCCCAUAAACAUCAUCACAAAUAGGUUAGCUCUGGCGUUGAAGCUAGCCUUUGGGUUGGUCCAACACCAACUAAAAGGUCCGAAUUCUGCAGGUCUGAUCGUCGAAUUCCACAUCAGGGUAGGUGGUGGAAGAAGAAUGCUGACAGAGCACACCCCUGCAAUGUCCGUGCUCACCUGCAUUGGCUUCUGCGGACUCAGUUGGUCAUCAGAUUUUAAGUUCUGGACCGUUCCUGAUAAGAUCUGGUCAGCACGGCUUUGAAUUUCUCCCUCUGCUUCGCCUAGAUGAAAUACUUCCUGUUGAUGCGGUGGCGCGGCCUUUCUUGUGUGCUACUGCAUGUGGAUUUGGUCAUGAUUAAAUUUAAGUUUUUUUCAUCUCACCCAACAACACCCAUUCCGGCACAAUGUGCCCACAGAUUUAUGCGUGCAUGGUGAUUUAAGAAGAACAAUAUGUAAAACCCCAUAGAUUCCGGCACGUUGUUCAAGCGAAGCGCCCAGUGCAUACAAGUUUACACCAAAUACAAAAAAACCCAGCACAUUGACGUACCAGCGAAGCACCGCGCAAGGACCCACUAGUCAUAUUCUGCUCACAAAAGAAAUACCAAUCACAACACAGGAAAUGUAUAGCCUCUUCCACUGGAGUAAAUUGCAAAAAACCACAACAAUUGGGGACCCUAAUUCAGAAAAUCGUCACCAUUCAGUUUUUUUUUCAAAAAACCACCAACAUUGGGGUGACAGUUUUCAAAAAACGCUGAUACCGUGAUUUAGAGCGUUUGAGUGGAUUUCUGACCGGUGGGUCCCUUUGUCAGGCGCCACGUGGCCAGGGCGAGACGGCGGCCGUGACGAGCCGUUAGACGGCGUCGGUCUAAACCUAACGAGCUGCUCGAACCCAACCCAUUCGUCCAUUCGUUCUCUGUCUCUCUCGCAGGUCUCUGUCGCUGCCGCUCGCCCCCCUCCCCCCUCGUCGACCGCCCGCGCCCCCGCCGCCGACCGCCACAGCCAUGGUCUCCUGGAAGGACGGCGAAACCAGCAGCGAGGACUCUGUUUCCCCCCUUUUCAUCUCGCACGCAGACGAAUCCUAUGUGAGUUCAUCUUCUUUCUCAAUUAGGGUUAGGUUCUCUUCGAGUACUCCAUUUGAGGUUAGUUUUGACCCAUUUUGAUCUGGGAUUUGAGGAUGUACUCUAUUUGAACCCUUGUAGGUUCCACAUACCAUUGUUGACCCAGAGUGGUGUGGCAUUGUUGCCGAGGACCGAUGUGCGGUCACAACUUGCCGGUGCAUAGGGGUGUUGUAUUUUUAUGUUGACACGCAUGUCAUAAAUAAAUUAAGACAACUCCUAUGGCUCCUGCCGGUUGUCAUACUCAUCGACAUGCAAGUCAUGAUUCCUAUUACAAGAACAUGGUCAAUCUCAUACAUCACAUAUAUCAUUCAUCACAUCCUUUUCCAUAUCACAUCACAAGGCAUAUGCUGCAAAAACAAGUUAGACGUCCUCUAAUUGUUGUUGCAAGUUUUUACGUGGUUGCUAUAGGUUUCUAGCAAGAACGUUUCUUACCUACGCCAAAACCACAACGUGAUAUUGCCAAUUUCUAUUUACCCUUCAUAAGGACCCUUUUCAUCGAAUCCGAUCCGACUAAAGUGGGAGAGAUAGACACCCGCUAGCCACCUUAUGCAACUAGUGCAUGCCAGUCGGUGGAACCUGUCUCACGUAAGAGUAUGUGUAAGGUCGGUCCGGGCCGCUUCAUCCCACGAUGCCGCCGAAUCAAGAUAAGAAUAGUAAUGGCAAGUAAAUUGUCAAAAUCGACGCCCACAACAACUUGUGUUCUACUCGUGCAUAGAAACUACGCAUAGACCUGGCUCAUGAUGCCACUGUUGUGAGAUCGUAGCAGAAAUUUAAAAUUUUCUACGCAUCACCAAGAUCAAUCUAUGGAGUAAUCUAGCAACGAGGGGAAGGAGAGUGCAUCUACAUACCCUUGUAGAUCGCUAAGCGGAAGCGUUGCAAGAAUGCGGAUGAAGGAGUCGUACUCGUAGUGAUUCAGAUCGCGGUUGAUUCCGAUCUAAGCGCUGAACAACGGCGCCUCCGCAUUCAACACACGUGCAGCCCGGUGACGUCUCCUACACCUUGAUCCAGCAAGGGGAGAAGGAGAGGUUGGGGAAGACUCCGUCCAGCAGCAGCACGACGGCGUGGUGGUGGUGGAGGAGCGCGGGACUCCAGCAGGGCUUCGCCAAGCACUACGAGAGACGAGGAGGGAGAGGGGUAGGGCUGCACCAACAUGGGAAGAACUUCGUGUGUUGGGCUGCCCCUUUGCCUCCACUAUAUAUAGGGGGAGAGGGAGGGCUGCGCCCCCACCUAGGGUUCCCACCCCAAGGGGUGCGGCAGCCCUAGAUCCCAUCUAGGGUGGCGGCCACAAGGGGGAGAGGGGAAGGCACACCUGGGGUGGGCCUUAGGGCCCAUCUGCCCUAGGGUUUGCCCCCUUCCCCUCUUGGAGGCGCCUUGGGCCUUGGUGGGAGGCGCCCCAGCCCACCUAGGGGCUGGUCCCUUCCCACUAUUGGCCCAUGUAGGUCUCCGGGGCCCGUGGCCCCUCCCGGUGGACCCCUGGACCCCUCCGGUGGUCCCGGUACACUACCCGUGAUGCUUGGAACACUUCCGGUGGCCAAGACCAUACUUCCUAUAUAUCAAUCUUUACCUCCGGACCAUUCCAGAACUCCUCGUGACGCCCGGGAUCUCAUCCGGGACGCCGAACAACAAUCGGUAACUGCGUACAUACUUUCCCUAUAACCCUAGCGUCAUCGAACCUUAAGUGUGUAGACCCUACGGGUUCGAGAGUCAUGCAGACAUGGCCGAAACAACUCUCCGUCAAUAACCAACAACGGGAUCUGGAUACCCAUGUUGGUUCCCACAUGCUCCACGAUGAUCUCAUCGGAUGAACCACGAUGUCAAGGAUUCAAUCAAUCCUAUAUACAAUUUUGUCUAUCGGUACGAUACUUGCCCGAGAUUCGAUCGUCGGUAUCCCGAUACCUUGUUCAAUCUCGUUACUGGCAAGUCUCUUUACUCGUUCUGUAACACAUCAUCCCAUGAUCAACUCCUUGGUCACAUUGUGCACAUUAUGAUGACGUCCUACCGAGUGGGCCCAAAGAUACCUCUCCGUUACACGGAGUGACAAAUCCUAGUCUUGAUUCGUGCCAACCCAACAGACACUUUCGAAGAUACCCGUAGUGCACCUUUAUAGCCACCCAGUUACGUUGUGACGUUUGGCACACCCAAAGAACUCCUACGGUAUUCGGGAGUUGCACAAUCUCAUGGUCUAAGAAAAUGAUACUUGACAUUAGAAAAGCUUUAGCAUACGAACUACACGAUCUUGUGCUAGGCUUAGGAUUGGGUCUUGUCCAUUACAUUAUUCUCCUAAUGAUGUGAUCCCGUUAUCAACGACAUCCAAUGUCCAUGGUCAGGAAACCAUAACCAUCCAUUGAUCAACGAGCUAGUCAACUAGAGGCUUACUAGGGACAUGGUGUUGUCUAUGUAUCCACACAUGUAUCUGAGUUUUCUAUCAAUACAAUUCUAGCAUGGAUAAUAAACGAUUAUCAUGAACAAGGAAAUAUAAUAAUAACCAAUUUAUUGUUGCCUCUAGGGCAUAUUUCCAACAAAAACCCUCUUCUUCCACAUCAGCCUCACAAAAUAAAUCUUCUGGCUCAGAAUCACCUUCAAAAACCCUCUUUCUCUUCAGGUCUUUUAUUUUCACAUGUAUGUCUGCAUCCUCAUCCUCUUGCUCAUCUUUAGAGCUAUCAGAAUCCAUCAGAUCUUCCUCCUCCAUGUUUUCUUCAUCCUCCAUGUUAUCUUCUUCCAUGUUAUGUUCUUGCACUUCUGGAAUGUCAGCAAACUCAUUAAGGAAAUCAUCUAGAUCUGCAAUAGUUGCCCGCUUCCUCACAUUGCAACUCUCCUGAGUGAUAAGAUAUUCUCCACAUGAGUCCUCUGUGUGUACACUGACAAUUGGAGCAAAUCAUGCUGCAUGUUCUGCUUUUUCAUUUGUCUGACUUGCAUACAACACACCUUCUUCAUCUACAUUAUAUAUUUUAGGUGAACCUAUCUGUGAAAUAGGAAUUUGCUGCUCAUCUCCAAUGUUAAUCUGCAGUUCUGCCCUCUCAAUCUCUCUACCUUUCAUAACAGUGAUAGUAACACACAUCUUGUCCUCAUAGAACUCCAACAUCUCUUCAACAUCUUCAUCACUCCUGAUUAGUUGCAUCCCUGACAUUCCUACACCACCUUCCUUCACGUAAUACAUGGAAUCACUCUGAUCAUAGCCCUGAAUCCCAAUGAUAGCUAACAUAUUCAGGUAUGUUAUAUCUCACUGAUACAAUCUCCUUUCCAGAUUGUCACAUCCUUGGAAAUGGAAUAUCACUUCCCAUGGUUCAUCAUCAUCCAAACUGCAAUUUAUAAACAAUUUAACUUAAUAGUACAUUCAGUUAAACUACAUUCAGUUCAACUAUAAUUCAUGUCAACAUAAAACACAGGUGGCGGUACAUUCAGUUAAACUGUAAUUUAUGUCAAAACACAGGUCUACAUUCAGUUACACUAUAGUUCAGUUCCAAUGCCAGUUAACACUACUUUCAGUUAAACUAGUUGAAAAUAUUUCCAGUUAACACUACUUUCAAUUAAACUAUAAUUCAGUUCCAAAUAAUUUCAGAUAACACUAAAAUGUAUAUUGAGUACACCUCAAGAUAGCUAAUACAUACACGAACAAAUAAACAUGAACAAUUCAGUUAACUCUAAUUCCUAAAUUCAGUUAACCAUAAUUCCUAAAUUCAGUUGGCUAAGAGCAAAGUAUAGACUACACGAAAAAUUAUACAGAGCUAAGCAUUCCUAGCCAAUUCAGAGAGUUAAGAGGAAGAAGAAGACUCAUUCCACGCCGCCUAGGCCAGAGGUGAAGUGGUGGCUCUGUGUAGGAUUUGCCUUCCAGACCUGGGCCAAUGAUGCUGCCGGCCGUGAAAAAAUGUCAUCGGAGGUGGGCUUGAACUUGCUGCCACCUUGCUCGUCGAGCUCCUCUCCGUUGCCGGUGAAAUAUCCACCGUUGCCAGGAACCCUAGCACGGGGGCGGUGGGAGAGCGAGGAAGGGCAGUGGGAGAGCGACGAAGGGUAGAGUGGGCAACGGAUUCAACGAAAUUGAGGUCGCUACCGGCACAUCUGCCGCCGCCGCCGUUGGUGGCCAUGGGGGAGAUGUGAGCACGAGCGGGUAGCCAGGGGGAGUCGAGACGCGAUUGGGGGGAAAGUGGUGGUAGGGUUCGAGCAGCUCGUUAGGCUUAGCCCGACGCCGUCUAACGGCACGUCACGGCCGCCGUCUCGCCCUGCCCACAUGGCCCCUGACAAAGGGACCCACCGGUCAGAAAUCCACUCAAACGCUCUAAAUCACUAUAUCAACGUUUUUUGAAAACUGUCACCCCAAUGUUGGUGUUUUUUUGAAAAAAACUGAAUGGUGGCGGUUUUCUGAAUUAGGGUCCCCAAUUGUGGUGGUUUUUUGCAAUUUACUCCUUCCAUUGACAUUGCACGUCUCAACCCAUCAUCUCCAAGAUAACGUAAAAAGUUUCCUAAUACACUUAUUGCUUGGCUCAGAUAGCUGUCCUACAAUUACUAACAUUAGCUCCCUUGGAAUAGUGUAUUGAAUUAAUUCUUACAGAAAGGAAGAGUAUCAAACAAAUUACUCCUGACAAGUCAUGUGGCUUCUUUGCUCCAAGGUUCCCAUCUCCCUCUUCCUCUUUUCAAUUCUGGACACGGGCUGGAGUAGCGCCCCAUCUUUCUCUCUCUCUCUCUCUCUCCUUUCAGUUCUGGACACGCGUUGGCAUAGUGCCCCUUGUUCUACACUUCUUGGUGUAGCGCCUCUUCUUCCUUCUCUUCAUGGGUGCUGCCAUGAAUUCCUGGAUAGCUUCCUUCAUUCCUUUCCUCUGUUGCUGAACCACUUCUUAUGUCUUGGUGAGUAGACGACACUGGGCUGGAUUGUGGUUAGUGCUUUACACAUAAAACAGGUGACUUGCAUAGUGGGACAUUCUUCACCCAAGUGACUCGCUUCACAGUAGGGGCAUCCAUCCUGGUGUUCCUUGUAGGUGUGUCCUAUUUCUUCACAGAUUUUGCAUGCGCGGUGCAUCUUCAUGUUUGGAUCAGA
rnacentral:lncRNA from 1 species